CACUAGGGAAAGCAGGCUAAGUUCGCGCCGUCCUGGCGCAACGCCUACGCCUGCAUGACCCACAUCCUGUAGG
rnacentral:sRNA from 1 species